CGGGAUAGCUCAGUUGGUAGA
rnacentral:tRNA from 2 species